AAUCAUGGAAUGACUCUCGGCAACGGAUAUCUAGGCUCUCGCAUCGAUGAAGAACGUAGCGAAAUGCGAUACGUGGUGUGAAUUGCAGAAUCCCGUGAACCAUCGAGUUUUUGAACGCAAGUUGCGCCCGAGGCCAUCUGGCCGAGGGCACGCCUGCCUGGGCGUCAGCU
rnacentral:rRNA from 1 species